AGUGAACGCUGGCGGUAGGCCUAACACAUGCAAGUCGAACGGCAGCACAGUAAGAGCUUGCUCUUACGGGUGGCGAGUGGCGGACGGGUGAGGAAUACAUCGGAAUCUACUUUUUCGUGGGGGAUAACGUAGGGAAACUUACGCUAAUACCGCAUACGACCUACGGGUGAAAGCCGGGGAUCUUCGGACCUUGCGCGAUUGAAUGAGCCGAUGUCGGAUUAGCUAGUUGGCGGGGUAAAGGCCCACCAAGGCGACGAUCCGUAGCUGGUCUGAGAGGAUGAUCAGGCACACUGGAACUGAGACACGGUCCAGACUCCUACGGGAGGCAGCAGUGGGGAAUAUUGGACAAUGGGCGCAAGCCUGAUCCAGCCAUACCGCGUGGGUGAAGAAGGCCUUCGGGUUGUAAAGCCCUUUUGUUGGGAAAGAAAAGCAGCAGGUUAAUACCCCGCUGUUCUGACGGUACCCAAAGAAUAAGCACCGGCUAACUUCGUG
rnacentral:rRNA from 1 species